UCUCUUCCCUCUAGAGCCUCACACUUGCUGCCUCCUCUGCCUGGAACUCUCUCCCUCUGCUCUCACAGGGUUCCCUAAGUGUCGCUUCCUCCAAGAAGCCCUCCCUGAUGAGUUGAGCCACUUUAGUUUGUGCUCAGGCUCACCCUGCACGUCUUGGUUGCUCUCAUCACUGUAAUGAUCUAAAACACACGUCUGCUCAUGAGACCCGCAUCCCACCCCCGAUGCUGGGGCCGCUCUUGGAUUUUCAUGCCUGCUGCCAGCACCCAGGGGGAGCUCCGGAAAUGUCUGCUGGGGGCUCGGAAUACCCACCUUUCUGGUAAUGCAGCCCAGCGGGUCCCAGCCUCGUUUUCCAGCCCUCACUCAAAAUGGAGUCGCUCUGGUUCGAACGCCUCUGACAAGUGUGUACCUACGUGUCAGGGAGCCUGCUCACAUGACCGUGUGGAGAAAGUUCUUUCCCUGAGGACCAUCUGGAGUGGACGCGUGCACUACCCCUCUCUGAAUACACCCUCCCCACGAGGCCCUCUGGAGCAUCCUGUAGAGCCAGCCCCUACCCAGAGACCCUGAGCCCAGAGAAUGCGCUGGGUGGUGAGCCUGGGGACGAAUGCAGAGCCCUAGGUCUCCUCUCCAGAAGUUGGAGUGCCAUGGUGUGGUCAUAGCCCACUGAAGCCUCAAACCUCUGGGCUGAAGCCAUCCUUCCGCCUCAGCCUCCCAAGUAGCUGGGACCAUAGGUGCAUGGCACUGUGCCUGGCACUGUCUGAAUGCAUACAGCUGCGUAGCAUCGUGGUAAGAACACCCGCCCUGACAUCACACAGACCUGCAUCCACGUCCCAGCUGAGCCUCAGUUCUCACAUCUGCAAAAUGGGGAGAACAACAGCAGCAGCGUCCUGAGGCUGGGGUGAGGACCGAGUGAAAAACCUUUGUCGCAUCUUUGGGCAUCGCAGGAGUUCAAUAAAUGUUAGCUAUCGUUGUCACUU
rnacentral:lncRNA from 1 species